UGAGGAAUAGCUCAGUUGGUAGAGUGUGAGACUCUUAAUCUCAGUGUCUUGGGUUCAAGCCCCACAUUGGGAGAAAAU